rnacentral:rRNA from 1 species
UACGGAGGGGGCGAGCGUUGUUCGGAAUCAUUGGGCGUAAAGGGCGCGUAGGCGGCCGUCCAAGUCGGGUGUGAAAUUUCGGAGCUUAACUCCGAAACUGCAUUCGAUACUGGCGUGCUUGAGGACUGGAGAGGAGACUGGAAUUCAUGGUGUAGCAGUGAAAUGCGUAGAGAUCAUGAGGAAGACCAGUGGCGAAGGCGGGUCUCUGGACAGUUCCUGACACUGAGACACGAAGGCCAGGGGAGCAAACGGG